ACGAACGCUGGCGGCGUGCUUAACCCAUGCAAGUCGCACGGAAAGGCCCUGCUUUUGUGGGGUGCUCGAGUGGCGAACGGGUGAGUAACACGUGAGUAACCUGCCCUUGACUUUGGGAUAACUUCAGGAAACUGGGGCUAAUACCGGAUAGGAGCUCCUGCUGCAUGGUGGGGGUUGGAAAGUUUCGGCGGUUGGGGAUGGACUCGCGGCUUAUCAGCUUGUUGGUGGGGUAGUGGCUUACCAAGGCUUUGACGGGUAGCCGGCGUGAGAGGGUGACCGGCCACAUUGGGACUGAGAUACGGCCCAGACUCCUACGGGAGGCAGCAGUGGGGAAUAUUGCACAAUGGGCGGAAGCCUGAUGCAGCAACGCCGCGUGCGGGAUGACGGCCUUCGGGUUGUAAACCGCUUUCGCCUGUGACGAAGCGUGAGUGACGGUAAUGGGUAAAGAAGCACCGGCUAACUACGUG
rnacentral:rRNA from 1 species